UACGUAGGGGGCAAGCGUUAUCCGGAAUUAUUGGGCGUAAAGAGUACGUAGGUGGCAACCUAAGCGCAGGGUUUAAGGCAAUGGCUCAACCAUUGUUCGCCCUGCGAACUGGGAUGCUUGAGUGCAGGAGAGGAAAGCGGAAUUCCUAGUGUAGCGGUGAGAUGCGUAGAUAUUAGGAGGAACACCAGUGGCGAAGGCGGCUUUCUGGACUGUAACUGACACUGAGGUACGAAAGCGUGGGGAGCAAACAGG
rnacentral:rRNA from 1 species